UGGGGAAUAUUGCGCAAUGGGCGAAAGCCUGACGCAGCCAAUCCGCGUGGGUGAUGAAGGCCUUCGGGUUGUAAAGCCCUGUCGUGAGGGACGAAGUUCUGACGGUACCUCACAAGAAAGCACCGGCUAACCCCGUGCCAGCAGCCGCGGUAAUACGGGGGGUGCAAGCGUUGCUCGGAAUCACUGGGCGUAAAGCGUCCGCAGGUGGAGAGGAAAGUCGGUCGUGAAAGCCCGAGGCUCAACCUCGGAACUGCGAUCGAAACUUCCUCCCUCGAGUUCGGGAGAGGGGAGUGGAAUUCCUGGUGUAGAGGUGAAAUUCGUAGAUAUCAGGAGGAACACCGGUGGCGAAAGCGGCUCCCUGGCCCGAAACUGACACUCAUGGACGAAAGCGUGGGUAGCAAACA
rnacentral:rRNA from 1 species